rnacentral:lncRNA from 1 species
AUUGUUUCUUAAUUACAUUUUUGCGCAUGUGAACGUUGUUUCACUUGGUGGUUUCUAUCUUGAGUUUGGCAUCGACGAAUAGCUUGGGAAUCCCAAACAUCAGUCUGGUUCCUCUCAAGGGUCAUUUGUUUUGUGCAAGGCUUCGUAAGACAUUUGUUACUUAUCUGUACACACACAUGAUUUGCUUCUGUUGUAGCUUGCAUGCUUGAGUGUUGGGUCAUGUGAUCCUUGCUUGUAAUGAGUAUGCUAUGAAUGGCUCCUCUGAGUCUUAACAAAUGCUUUGCGUCGUAAAAUUAUGUUGUGAUGCCAUGAUCUACCAAUAUAUAUCGUGAAUAUUGUGUGUAUGCUUUUGAAAUACAUGUUAUGUGUGGGAUUCGACACCUAGUUACACACCGCUGGCAACCUUUCUUAUAGGCAAAUGCCUCGAUGUGUUUCCAUUGAGCCUUGAUAGUUUGCUACUGCUUCGGAACACAAUGAUUGACCAACAUGCUUCGUGAGGGGUUCCUGUGUUUGACUGAGCCAGAAUCUCUAUCAUGUACUCUACUAGCGACUUACUCAUACAAGCUAGAGACAAAAGACGCAAACGGUCUGGUCCACGUAAGGUGAAAGUGGCGUGUUACACGUUAGAUACACGUGCGUAGACAUCGGGAUCUUACACGAGGCCAUGUAUGGUGAAGGUAGGAGAUUGUUUUUCUUUAUCCUCCACAAGCAAAGGUUUUCUUACAUUGGCAUAAAACUAAAAACGCAUAAAAUACACAUGGAUAUUAUAUCUCGCUUAUAAAGAGACUAUCACCCGACUCAUUUAAAUGACACAUUCAUAUGUGCCGACCCUUAGCGUUGUGCUCGCUAUUUCAGCCGCUCACUUGCUCGUUUUAUGUACAAUUAUGUCUUCUUUUUUCCCUUUUUUGUUUUUCAUAUUUUUU